rnacentral:lncRNA from 10 species
GUCACCAGAAAAGCAACAUUACAGCGACUUCCCCUCUUUUGCAUGUUAAGAUUCUGGAGAUGGUCGAUGCUCCCUGAGAUUGCUGAGGCUGAGAGGAACCCUUCAAACUGCAUCCCCAGCAAAAGAACAUGAUUUUUCCCCAUAUAAGGCACAGCAGAGAAUUCAACCCCAGACAGCCACAGGAUCCCCUCUGACAGGCUGAUUUAAUGCUCAAGGAAGAUUGUUCUAGACAGUCUUAUCAUCAGUGCCUGAGAACAGACGCUUUAGAAGCUGACUCUAAGGAAGAAGUGAAUCUCUACAGAAUGGACCACUCACUGUUCUAGUGAUCACAACCAUAGAACCAGUACAAUUCCUUCUCUGGUAAUACAUUCAUUCACAGCCUUCAACAAACAUUUGGUGACCACUUACCCUAUACCCAGGACGGUGUCAAAUAAUUAUGAAGCUAAGUAAGAAAAGACUCUAUUCUCCAAGAGUCUGAACUCAGUGGGGAACUCCCAGUCCAGUAUAGUAUAGAGGACAAGGUACUUGCUCCCAGUUUAAGCUCCUCAUGCUACCAGAG